rnacentral:rRNA from 1 species
UACAGAGGUCUCAAGCGUUGUUCGGAUUCAUUGGGCGUAAAGGGUGCGUAGGCGGCGCGGUAAGUCGGGUGUGAAAUCUCGGAGCUUAACUCCGAAACUGCAUUCGAUACUGCCGUGCUUGAGGACUGGAGAGGAGACUGGAAUUUACGGUGUAGCGGUGAAAUGCGUAGAUAUCGUAAGGAACACCGGUGGCGAAGGCGGCAUCCUGGACCAACACUGACACUGAAAAGCGAAAGCCAGGGGAGCAAACGGG